rnacentral:rRNA from 1 species
CUCUGUGACUCCUACGGGAGGCAGCAGUGGGGAAUAUUGCACAAUGGGCGCAAGCCUGAUGCAGCCAUGCCGCGUGUAUGAAGAAGGCCUUCGGGUUGUAAAGUACUUUCAGCAGUGAGGAAGGUAUCGUAGUUAAUAGCUGCGGUAUUUGACGUUAGCUGCAGAAGAAGCACCGGCUAACUCCGUGCCAGCAGCCGCGGUAAUACGGAGGGUGCGAGCGUUAAUCGGAAUUACUGGGCGUAAAGCGCAUGCAGGUGGUUUGUUAAGUCAGAUGUGAAAGCCCCGGGGCUCAACCUCGGAAUUGCAUUUGAAACUGGCAGACUAGAGUACUGUAGAGGGGGUAGAAUUUCAGGUGUAGCGGUGAAAUGCGUAGAGAUCUGAAGGAAUACCGGUGGCGAAGGCGGCCCCCUGGACAGAUACUGACACUCAGAUGCGAAAGCGUGGGGAGCAAACAGGAUUAGAUACCCUGGUAG